AGUGAACGCUGGCGGUAGGCCUAACACAUGCCAGUCGAACGGCAGCACAGUAAGAGCUUGCUCUUACGGGUGGCGAGUGGCGGACGGGUGAGGAAUACAUCGGAAUCUACUUUUUCGUGGGGGAUAACGUAGGGAAACUUACGCUAAUACCGCAUACGACCUACGGGUGAAAGCAGGGGAUCUUCGGACCUUGCGCGAUUGAAUGAUCCGAUGUCGGAUUAGCUAGUUGGCGGGGUAAAGGCCCACCAAGGCGACGAUCCGUAGCUGGUCUGAGAGGAUGAUCAGCAACACUGGAACUGAGAAACGGUCCAGACUCCUACGGGAGGCAGCAGUGGGGAAGAUUGGACAAGGGGCGCAAGCAUGAUCCAGCCAUACCGCGUGGGUGAAGAAGGCCUUCGGGUUGUAAAGCCCUUUUGUUGGGAAAGAAAAGCAGCAGGUUAAUACCCCGCUGUUCUGACGGUACCCAAAGAAUAAGCACCGGCUAACUUCGUG
rnacentral:rRNA from 1 species